AUUGAGGUCUAUCCCGACUGGCUCCUCCCUGUAGAGCUGUGUCGUUGGAAAUGCCUCAAAGAUGGAUUCUGUAGUAUAGCUUUACCCAUAGUGCUACUGCCAUUAUCUCUGUGGGCAAACACUGCAGGACAAAC
ensembl:snoRNA